GGAGAGGUGCCCGAGAGGCCGAAGGGGCUCCCCUGCUAAGGGAGUAUCGGGUCAAAAGCCUGAUCGAGGGUUCGAAUCCCUCCCUCUCCGCCA
rnacentral:tRNA from 1 species